CCCAAAUUGUCAUGACUUUUGCUCGAUUUGAGUAAAAAUAAUCACUUUGCUACUAACUUUAGCAUAUAUAGUAGCAUGGACUCAAACUUUUAGCCUGUGCCCAAACCGCUUUCUUUAUGUGCUAAAAUUUUAGAAAGGCGACACAGGUGGAAACCUGUCAGAUUAUUUUUGUUUUUAUUUUGCACCGCGUUCAGGUAAAAAGAUUUUCGUUCCGCUCCUCGGUUUUUCGUCGUUUGGUUUGAAUUUGGAUUAACAGCAGCUCGUUGGAGGGAAUGCUGCAGAAGUAGGCAUUCUUCCUCCAGCGGAACGGUUACCUGUUCGGUAAUCAGAGGAAAAAUUGCUGCAUCCUAACGCUGCACAUACCGGUACGCGAUACCGAUAAAGGAGGGGAAAAGUGUGAAGCGCAGACCGAACCCGGAAGCAACAGUAGUGGUUCCGCCGGGUGGUGUUUUUGGUUUACCUAUUUGGUGAUUUCAUUGGUGAAGAUGUACCUAAUAGUAAAAGCUCCAAGAACGCGAUGAUGGAAUACACUUUUAGAAACCCGCAGUGUGAUGCGAACAAAAAUAAAAAAUAAG